rnacentral:misc_RNA from 1 species
GAUGAAGAACGUAGCGAAAUGCGAUAAGUAAUGCGAAUUGCAGAAUUCAGUGAAUCAUCGAAUCUUUGAACGCACAUUGCGCCCGCCAGUAUUCUGGCGGGCAUGCCUGUCUGAGCGUCGUUUCGACCCUCGCGCCCGGCUUCUGUCGGGGGCGGUGUUGGGGAUCGGCCACACCCUUCAGUGGGAGGCCGGCCCCUAAAUUCAGUGGCGACCACGCUGUAGCCUCCCCUGCGUAGUACUAAAACCACCUCGCAGGCGGAGAGCGGUGCGGCCCGCCGUAAAACCCCCCAACUUUUACAAGGUCGACCUCAGAUCAGGUAGGAAUACCCGCUGAACUUAAGCAUACCAAUAAGCGGAGGA